UGGCGGACGGGUGAGGAAUACAUCGGAAUCUACUCUGUCGUGGGGGGAUAACGUAGGGAAACUUACGCUAAUACCGCAUACGACCUACGGGUGAAAGCAGGGGAUCUUCGGACCUUGCGCGAUUGAAUGAGCCGAUGUCGGAUUAGCUAGUUGGCGGGGUAAAGGCCCACCAAGGCGACGAUCCGUAGCUGGUCUGAGAGGAUGAUCAGCCACACUGGAACUGAGACACGGUCCAGACUCCUACGGGAGGCAGCAGCC
rnacentral:rRNA from 1 species